rnacentral:tRNA from 2 species
GAGAAAGUCAUAGUGGCUAUGGGGUUGGCUUGAAACCAGUCAGAGAGGGUUCGAUUCCUUCCUUUCUUA